GAGGGUGUAGCCCAGCCUUAGAGCGCAUGCUUAGCAAACACGAGGUCCUGGGUUCAAUCCCAGCCCCUCCA
rnacentral:tRNA from 1 species